UACGUAGGGGGCAAGCGUUGUCCGGAUUUAUUGGGCGUAAAGAGCGUGUAGGCGGCCAUACAGGUCCGUUGUGAAAACUGGAGGCUUAACCUCCAGACGUCGAUGGAAACCGUAUGGCUAGAGUCCGGAAGAGGAGAGUGGAAUUCCUGGUGUAGCGGUGAAAUGCGCAGAUAUCAGGAAGAACACCGGUGGCGAAGGCGGGUCUCUGGGCCGUAACUGACGCUGAGGAGCGAAAGCAUGGGGAGCGAACAGG
rnacentral:rRNA from 1 species